rnacentral:rRNA from 1 species
UACGUAGGGUGCAAGCGUUUAAUCGGAAUUACUGGGCGUAAAGCGUGCGCAGGCGGUUUUGUAAGUCUGUCGUGAAAGCCCCGGGCUCAACCUGGGAAUUGCGAUGGAGACUGCAAGGCUUGAAUCUGGCAGAGGGGGGGUAGAAUUCCACGUGUAGCAGUGAAAUGCGUAGAGAUGUGGAGGAACACCGAUGGCGAAGGCAGCCCCCCUGGGUCAAGAUUGACGCUCAUGCACGAAAGCGUGGGGGAGCAAACAGG